AGACAAAAAUAUUCAAUAACGAUCUGCUAUAUUGAACAUGCAUUUUUAUUUCUGAUUACGUUUGUAGUAAUAAAUUUUUACAAAAUCUUUGUAAUAUAUAUUAGUGUUGCAAAAUUUACAAACAAUUAUUUAAAUAAAAUAUUGGUGUUAUGAACAAACCAUUAAUAUUAUCGAAGAUUUUUCGAUAAAUAGUAAUCUCGUUGUAUGCCUAGUUGAAUCUCACAAAUGUGUCAAAUUGUUUUAUCUUUGAAAGAACAUUCUUUAUUGCUUUAUUGGAUCAUAAUCAGUUACUACUCUAUUGAUUGUAUAAAAGAAUAGAAUAUGCAGCAAAUAACAGUGAGAUAUAUUUAUAAACAGAAUUUUUAAAGAGAAAUAUCCAAUAACCUACAUCUCAUGACAUAACCAGUGUUGAUUAACGCAUCAUUACAUUUUGUACAUUAUUUUCAUUUCUAUUUAAGGAAAAAGAACUUAUCAAGUGCAUCGCGUAUCAUAGUAUUCGCGAUGAUGUGGCAAGAAAUAACUUUGACGAAGCCGGCACGUAAAAAACCGAACAUUGAUACAUUGAUAGCUGAAUGAUUUUUAAAAAUUUCAUAGAACAAUUUUUAGUGAAUCCAGUUAUUUUAUUCAGGAAUCUAUCUUUUAUUAUAAAUAUAUCGAUGAUAAAGAAUCAUUCUUGAAGUAUUAUAGUUAUACAUGAAAUGGGUAGUGCUUGGUGGCAGUGUGCUGCAUGUUUGAGAACACAAGAAGAAGAUAUCUGUGAAUUGCACUUAAAUAAUUGUAAUCUUUAUGAUGUACCACCUGAUGUGUUCAUUUAUGAGAGAACAUUGGAAAAACUCUAUCUUGAUGCCAAUAGGAUAAAAGAUCUUCCAAGACCAUUAUUUCAGUGCCAUGAAUUACGAGUACUUUCCCUCAGUGAUAAUGAAGUUACAACGUUACCACCCGCCAUAGCAUCAUUAAUUAACUUGGAAUAUUUAGACCUCAGUAAAAAUAGUAUUAAAGAAUUACCAGACAGUAUAAAAGAAUGUAAAAACCUUCGUUCUAUAGAUAUCAGUGUUAAUCCAUUUGAACGUUUCCCAGAUGCUAUUACACAUAUUGUUGGAUUAAGAGAAUUGUAUAUAAAUGAUGCAUACAUAGAAUAUCUACCAGCAAAUUUUGGAAGACUUUCAGCUUUGAAAACAUUAGAACUUAGGGAAAAUAAUUUGAUGACAUUACCAAAGAGUAUGAGUCGUUUAAUAAAUUUGCAAAGACUUGAUAUUGGUAAUAAUGAUUUCACGGAAUUGCCUGAAGUUGUUGGGGAUCUUAUCAAUCUCACUGAAUUGUGGAUAGAUGGUAAUGAUAUCAGACGUAUACCAUUUAACAUUAAUCAGCUUUACCGUUUAAAUCAUUUUGAUUGUACCAUGAAUGCAAUUCAUAUUAUUCCAUCAGAAGUAGAAGGAUGGAGAGAUAUUUCCAUUAUGCAUCUGUCAUCAAAUGAAAUCUAUCAAUUACCAGAUUCUCUUUGUUAUUUACGUACAAUUGUGACUCUUAAAGUUGAUGACAAUCAAUUGAAUGCACUGCCAAAUGACAUUGGACAAAUGUCAAACUUAGAGGAGCUUAUAGUUACUAAGAACUUCCUCGAAUAUUUGCCAUCAUCAAUAGGACUUUUGCGAAAAUUACAUUGUUUAAAUGUAGACAAUAAUUAUUUGAGAUGCCUUCCACCAGAAAUUGGAAGUUGUACGGCGUUAUCAUUGUUGUCACUGAGAUCAAACAAUUUAACUCGAGUUCCACCUGAAUUGGGACAUUUAUCUUCUUUAAAAGUACUCAAUCUUGUAAACAAUUGCAUUAAAUUUUUGCCCGUUUCUAUGUUAAACUUGAGCAAUUUAAAAGCAUUAUGGCUGAGCGACAAUCAAAGUCAACCAUUAGUGCCAUUGCAACAAGAAUUUAAUUGUGAAGAAGACAUGAUGGUGUUAAGUUGCUUUAUGCUACCACAAAAACCACGGCAAGAACUUGAGCAAAUAACACCAGCUGUAGGAUUAAUUUCGAGUUCAAUUGUUGGUACUGGAAAAAGAAUAUGUUUUGCUGCUGAAGUAGAAUCUGAGAUCCCUAGACAACUUCACCGAGCACCAACUCCUUAUCCUAAAGAAUUGCGCAACCUUGCUAGGCAUGCUCGCAAUUUACAUCAUCAAUCAGCACAUGAUGAAAGAAUGCAUUUAGAACAGGAGACUAUGAUCAAAGAAGCUAUUAUUGCUACAACUACUUUGGACCUUACUUCAAAAUCUGGGACCUGUUUUUCACAAAGUUUAUUUAAUAAGGGUUCACAUUCAUCAUUAUCACCAACUGAACAUCAUAUAUCAAAAGAGUGCAAAACUAAUACUCCUACGGAUAUUGGAACAGAACAAUCUGUUUCAGAAGAAUCUUCCGACGAAGCGAACAAGACGGUUCUUGCAAAAGAAAAAAGUCCAGAUAUCAGAGAAGCAAAAUAUAUUCGUAAUCCUACAUCUGAAUACAUUUCCAAACCUCCAACAGUAGCAGAUUAUGUAAAUUCUACUUGGAAACCGGAUGAAUAUUCAAAAGCAAAUACAGCAAAAAUUAUUGAAUCAGAAAAGUUUAUAGAACCUUAUAAAAGUAUGCCUAUUAUUAUAAGCAACAAAAAUACUGAUCAUGUUCAAAUACCAAAAGUAAAUGAAGUACCACUUGUCCCACCACCAUAUCAUAUUGCUGCUGCAUUUUCAAAAAAAGCAGCACUUUUUCAACAAUUAAAUCAAUCAGCUCAAUUGGAUUUGUCUCCUCCACAAAUUGAUAUUAACACAUCAAAUUUAAAAAUAUCACAGGAAACGCAAAUACAAAGUUAUGACGAAGAACAAUAUAAUGAUAAAUUUUCAUCAAAUAAUACAGAUGUAAUUAAUAAAACAAAUAACGAUGAAAAGAUAAGUUCUUUUAAUAAUAUUGAUCAAACACAUAUAUUGACAGAAUCAAUAGAUCCAGAACAAUCUUUAGAAGGAGAUAGAUCAUUAAAACCAAGUAGAAUUCCUAUUUUAAAAACAAAACAUUUAGAAAAUAUGAAUUCUAUUUCAAGCAGCGAUUUAUCAAAUAAAUGCACAAACUCUUCUGUUGAAGAUUAUGAAGCUUUAAAAAUGUUGAACGCAUCAUGUAUACCUACAUCUCCGAUAACAGGAAAAAAAUAUCGAAGUCCGCUUUCUAUGCAACACAAAGUUUCGGAUCGAUCAAAAAAAAUAAUAAAUGGAACUUCAAAUAAUAAUACUUCUUGUGAUAAUUUAUCUAUGAAUGCAACAAAUUCAACUUUAGUUACAAAUCCAAAUAUGGAAGGAACUUCAAAAACUUUAUCUGUUGAAACAUCAUUAAAUAUGAACAAUUCUAUCAAUGUAAAAAAUAAAGCUAAUUCUGGUCGAAGUACUCCAAUUUUAUCAAAUAAUAAGUUUCCAAAUGAAGUGACCAAUUCUAAUGUUGAUAAAUAUAAGAUUGUUGGACGGAAUGAAUCAUUAAACCCAGAAAGAAAACCAAGAUUUAAAUGGAUGUUCGGGCCGCAUAAAAACGCUAAUGUUUUGCCUGUCCAAGUGAAAAAAAAUCCUGGUCUUGGUUUUAGUAUAGCAGGUGGAGUAGCAGGAGCCGAAACCGGAAUUAUAGUGACUAAAGUAAAUCCAGAUGGUCCUGCACAAGGUACACUUCGACCAGGAGAUAAAAUUUUAGAAGUGGAUGGCAUUGAUUUUACUAAAUCUGAUCAUAACAAUGCUGUGGCUGUUCUUCGAGCAACAGGAGCAGUGGUAUCCAUGAUGAUUAGUCGUCAUCAAUGACAUCUAGUUAAAGAAAAAUAAUCUUUUUUCAUAUACUAGUAAUCAGCUUAUGCACAUUGAACAUUUCAUCAAAUCAUACUUUCCGAUAUCAUCGAAUUGAAUUAUACGACUGAAACAGCGUUACCAAAGGUGGGAGUGGUGGCAUUUAUUUGAGCAAAUAUUUCUAGCUUCCAAUGGUUACGCCUUAUGAACCGAGCUUUUUUUAAAAAAAACAAAUUCAAGAAAAAUUCCGUUCAUAGACUCUUAGAUACCGUAGAUUAGAAAUACGCUCCCUUGCACAAUUUAUGAUAAAAAGAAAAAAAAAUUUAAAAUGUGAUGUACAAUUAAAACUAUUUUUAAGAAAAGUUUCUUCAUGGGCCGAUUCACAGCUCGCUCGUAUUAUUUGGGCACAUAAAUAGGUAAAAUAGGAACUAUUCAGCAUAAAAUUAUAGAAUGAUAACUUUCUUCCUGAAUUUCCAACUUCAUAAAGAUAUAUUUGUGUUAUUUUAUGGUGUUGAUUAUAUUUGUGUCAACUUACUUGUUCUCUUUGCAGAGAGCUGACAAUGUGCCAGAAACAAAUACUAUUUAUUAUUCAUAUACACUUAAAAAGAAUACUAUAUAAAAAAUGAACAUAUAUUAUGCAUAUAUAUUAUAUACAAAUAUUAUCUUUGUCGAUUAAAUGAGAUUCUUACAGAAAUUUUUUUUAAGAUAUCACAUAAAAUAUUUUGUAUUUAGAAGUGAUUUUUCUACAAAUUUAUCCAACAAAGAUUUUAAAAGCACAAAAAAAUGACCAAUUUGUUUGUAUUAUUUAAUAAUUUUAUUUUUAUAUUAAAAAAUAAUAUAGUUUGAAUUAUUUGAAAAAUAUCUGUGAGAAUCUUGUUAAGGUAAAAAAAAGAGAUAUUCUCCUGUGUACUCUAAUUUUAUUAGUAAUAUUUUUAAUUUUUUUUAUUAAUUUUGCUAUUGUUUUAAAUUUUCUUUUCAUUUUUUUAUUCUUAUUUUAAAAAAUAUUUUUUAAUGAAGAUUAUUCAUUAAUAAUACAUUAUAUUUUCAAACGAUUUUAUAUAUUUUUACUUGCCAUUGUUUCGUGAUAAGUUUAUUUUUAUUAAAUAUUAGCGAUUCUCUUAUAACAGAAUCAACUGUUAAGUGUUUGAUAAAAUAAGAUCUUUAUUAUUAUGGUUGUGAAUUAUUAUAUUUGAUUCAUUCUAUGUAAAGAAACAAAUGUAUGUACCUUGUAGAAACUGUGUUUUCACAACAGUUAUUAAUAUGGCAUAAUAAUGCCAAAUAGUAAGAUAAAAUAUUACUUUUCUAUGUUAGUAAAGUUAACAAAAAAAAAUGAAGAUUAAUCAUGUAAAUGGGUAGAGCUGUGAGAUAAAUGUUUAGAAAGAUUGAUGAUAAAUAACAUAAAUGAAUACUGUUCAAGUCAAGAUAUGAGUUAUAACCAAUAUAUUGUUUGUAUCCCAGAACUUUUAUAACAAAAUAACAAUCGCACUUCACUUUACCUCGCAUUUACAGAAUAAUUACUACGCACAUUCUCUUAAUAUAUAUAUAUAUUUCAUUACAUAUUUUAUAACAGUUUUAAUUAAUUUUGUUAGUUAUAUAAGAAUUUAGAAAAAAUGAUUUAUGCAUUUUUGAAAGUAUGUUUAAAUAAUAUUUAUUUUUUUUAUUGUCUUUCAAAGUCAGUACGAUGUAUUUUUGGUAUUCAUUUUUGUGGUUAAUUUCUUUAAUAAGUUAGUUUUAUAUAAAUAUAAAUAUAAAUAUAUAUAUAUAUAUAUAAUAUAAAUAUAUAUAUAUAUAUUUAUAUAUUACAGUUACAUGAUAGCUUUAAAAUGAAAAUAUGCAUGCAUGUGCUCACAUGAUUGUUGAGUAUGACUUUAUAUACAUAUAUAAAUAUAUAUAUAUAUAUAUAUAAAUUGUUCUCUUCUAUAAUUAUCUGAGCUUCGAAUUUUUCAGUAUGUUAUUUGGAAUUAUAGCGAAGUUUAGAGAGAGAACUUCCAGAAUUGAGAAUUAUAACAAAAAGUGUUAUAUUUUCAGAAAGAUUUCCUUCAAAUAUACCGGUACAACUUAUUCAGUGAAUAAGAAUUAUCACUGAAUAAUCUUUCUAUGUAAAAUACAUAGAAUUUUGAUAUAUUUUAGAAAUAAAUUGACAAAAAAGAGCAGAUUAUUUUUGAUUUAAAUAUUUUGUGAAAGUAAUUUUAGAUAACUAUAUACUUGUACUCAUACAUAUAAUUAUAAAGUAUUCUUAGUCAAAUUAUUUAAUUAUUUUUUAUGAGUACAUGUAGUUCUAUGAUAUAUAUAUAUAUAUAUAAAACUAGCUUGAGAUUUAAAUUUUGGAUUAAUUAAAUUAUCAAUAAUAAUCUGCAUACCUAGUCAUAUUGGAAAGUAUGAAAUAUAAUGAGGGUGAAUUGUAAUUUCAUUUAAUAAUAUUUUUAUUUCUAUUAAUAAUUUGUGUAAUUUUUUUAAUUAUCAAUUUUACUUUAAGAUUUAUGAUAGAAAAGAAUGAUAUAUUUAUUGUAUGCUUUAUGUUUCAACAAAUACUCUUAUAUUCAUUAUUAGUAUAAUGUACAAAGUAAACUUUAAAUAUGUAUUAAUGUUUUCAUAAUAAGAUAUAACACUUUGUUUAAUAUGUAUUAUGUUGUGCUCAAAUACUCAAUUAGAAUUUUCUGCAAGAUAAAUUAAUAUUUUAAUUGUUAAAAAAAGAAUUUUGGACCAUAAAACGCAUAUACAAUCUUUUCUACUACUCUAACUACUAAACAGACUGACUACUUUUUGAGCAAAUAUUUAAGUGGCAUUUAAUGGAAUGUAUUGAUUGUACGGGAAAUGUGUGAUUAGAAAUGGUACAUGAAACUGUAUAUAUAAAAAAUUAAAAAUAUGUAAGUAAACAAGUGGUCGUACUCAUUACUUAGAUUUUAAUUUGAAUUAUGAUUUUUUUUUUUUUUUGAUAUUUUUCUUUCUUUUUAUAACUUUUUUUUAAUUUCAUAAAAUUAAUCAUUGAUUUUAAUUUGAUAGAAUAAUUUUUUAAGUAAAUUAUAAAAUGAAAAUUGUUAAUCAGAAAACAAUAAUUAGUACAACCACUUUCUCGACCUAUUUUUUGGAAUACCUACUCAAACAAUUUGUAUAACAAUGUAUAAAUUAAAUGUACAAAAAAUGCUCACAGUGGUUUGACUGGUCAUCAUAUAAUAAUUACCACACAGUUGUAACACUUUGAAUAUGUUAGGCAAAGAUAUUUUAACUUUCUUAAAAAGUCCUAGUUGGUUGUGCAGCAAUAAAUAAAUUAAUAUUUACGUAUAAAA